GUGCUUAUUUCAGAUUAUUUUUUUCCCACUUCCCCACUACCCUUUCAAGUUUCCUAGAAAUUACCCACCAUUGCCAUUAUAAUCUACCGAAUCCCGCCGCGAGAAGCCUCUGCCGCCUGGCACAGGAUCCCGCCGCCUGGCACUCCGACGCGUCCCGCGCGCAGCAGAUUCCCGCACGGCACACGAUCCCGCCGCCAGAAGCCUCCGCGCGGUCGACGGGGACGCGUCCCGCGCCCGGCAUAGGAUCCCGCCGCGCCGUCGUCGCCCGGCACAGGAUCCCGCCGCCAGAAGCCUCCGCGCGGUCGACGAACACGCGUCCCGCGCCCAGCACAGGAUCCCGCCGUGCCGUCGUCGCCCGGCACAGGAUUCCGCCGCCAGAAGCCUCCGCGCCGUCGUCGUGGUGAUGGAUCCUCCGUCGGAACCAGCAGACAUUGAAUCAGGAGUUGGUGAUGUUACGACACCUGAACGAGGCAGACCAACCAUGGUACGUGGUUCCAUGACGGCAGGUCGUCGUGGCGCAGGAUUUACACUGGCAGGGCGUAGUGCCGGUCGUGGCACUAGUUGUGUGAUGCGCGAUAGUAGGAGUGCCGGAAGGAGCAUUCGUGGUGGCCGAAGUGUUGGUAUUGACAUCGAUUUAAAUGCUCAAGGUCGGGAAGAUGAUGAACCAAUUGAAGUUGAAGCUGAAAUUACUGCAAAUAAUUCGAAGGAGAAAUAUGACAAGGCAGAUUGGUCAUCCAUGAAUACUAGAACUUUUUGUGAAAUAUGUGUUGAAGAGGUUGAAGCUGGUAACAGACCAAAUGGAACACUAACUACUACAGCGUAUAAAAAUAUUUGUGUUAAGUAUCGACAAAGAACUGGUUUGCUUCACAGCAAAACUCAAUUGAAGAAUAAGUGGGAUUUACUGAAAGGGCUUUACAGUUUUUGGCUUGGUCUAAACAAAGAUACAGGACUUGGAUGGGAUUCUAAGCUAAGGACUGUGAUUGCAAGUGAUGAAUACUGGAAGAAAAAUACAAAGAAACUGAAAUAUGGCCCUCCAGAAAAUGAAGAUUUCAUGACACAAAUGUUUGAACAUAUUGCAGUGGAUGGAUCUACAUCAUGCGCUCUAGGUGAAUUUUAUGAUGUGGAAAAUCAUGAGACUGAGGUUGAUGGUAUUGAUGGAGUUGAUUUUGGCACAUUUGAGGCAGACUGUGAUGCUCAAUAUGAUGAAUUUGUGUCUCCUUUUGCUAGUGGCAGCAAGUCAACUCAGUCGAAGAGAGGCGUCUCAACUCAGUCAAAGAAAAGAGCUAGUCCUACUGUUGUUAAUAGCCCACUGAAGCGCUCAAAGAAUCCCAUGGUUAAGGUCAUGAAUAAGAUUCAUAAUACUUUGGAGAUCAAUUGCAAUAUUUCAAACAAAGUAAUGCUUGGUAUGCCGUCACAAAAGCCUUUUGCAUUGCCUUUGUCAUGACCUUCUUCUCUGUAUUCGACGUUCCUGUCUUUUGGCCAAUACUUCUC